AAGGUGUGAUACUGAUUUUAAGGAAUAGGGAAUGUUCACAGGGAGGACUUGGGAGGCUUAAAAUUUCAGAAAGAGGACUCGCGUCCUCAUCAUGGCUUGAGCUACAAUUAAAUUAUACAAUCCUAGGAACGAGAUAACGGUUUCUUUGGACGUUUUAUUAUUCUUUUUUUUUUUUUCCCCUCUCCUUUUUAAACAACAUGCAUUCAACGAAGUAGGCAAAAGGCUUCUCCCCACGUUUCGUACAAACCCAGUUUGCUUCGUGAAUUGGACAGACCGCCAUCGCCCCGCUAACAAGCAAAGGGAAAUUGUUAGCCCCCGCCCCCCCCUUCCCCACCUCCCACCUGUCUUUAAAAAUCCCACAAGAAAACGCGAACGGUUAAAGUCUUUUUAAAAAGUGUCGCUUGGACACGGCCUUAAGAAUAAAAAACAAAGUAUUUACAGCCUUACGGGAAGGGGAGAGAGAAAGGAAGGAAUUGGAAGUAGGCCCUGCAGCCCCCAACGUAAAUAUUAUUUCUUCCCCUCUUCCCAAAUCGCUGCGGAGACCCUUGACACACUUCCUGCCUGCCCGCUGUCAGCAUCGUCGAUGCCAACGCGAAGCCGUGACGGGCAUUAACUGACCGCAGUUACCACUCUGUUGACCCUUUAAUGACAGAGGUCUCCAAAGUUGGCACCUUUUAAGACUGGUGGACUUCCAACUCCCCGAAUUCUCCAGCCAGUGCUGGCUGGAGAAUUCGGGGAGUUGGAAACCCACCAGUCUUAAAGUUGCCAACCUUGGAGACCCCCUGCUUCAGUUUCUCGCUUGGGACAGCCUCCCCAGUGUCCAAGCAGUGAAAACAACAACAAAAUCUGAAUUACAGCCUGCAUAUAAUAAUAUUGGUGAUCAUUACUUUUAUCGUUACGAUCCCGUAUCGUCCUAACUUCAUUCUUAGGCGAUUUUUUUUCCCCACAUCUCGCUUUGAGACCUACAAACAAAACCCCACAAUUCUUGUGACGAGAGCCCAGGGGUUCAAAACGAGAUAAGGUGGAGGCUGGACACGCUAUUCUCCACCCCAUGUGGGUAAAAAGAACGGGGUGGGGAUUGGAUUGUGCAGCCGCUGUCUUAACUUUUUUUGUGGGUAGGGACGCGGGGGCAUUACCUGGUUCCAGCUAUUUGAGCUGCCCUUGCGUCCUCUGUGCAAAGGGGCAGCCCUUUCCUUGCCUAGGUACCCCCCUGCCCACCCAGCAAGGGCCAUGCCCACCUCCUCCGACCCUUUAUUCACAUGCUAUCCGUUUAAAAGCUUACACACACCAAACCAGGCUUGUGCGUUCAGAAGUAAAACAGUUAACAGGCACGAUUGAGCGACAAGGAAACCAUGGGGGGGUCUGCAAAGGAUCGGUUGAAGCAGGGCUUCC